rnacentral:lncRNA from 1 species
GGGGCAAGAUUCAUUGGGUUACAGUAAAAAUCAAAUGCGCGAUCUCCUUGUGUCUGUUUUUAGGCCGGUUUUUCUUAGAAACGGGACCAAUUUUUUUUUUCUUCAUCGAAUUGCGGGAUCGACCGCUGUGAAAAAGAAAAUCCCUUGCACUGUCUCUGUCUGACACUCGAGACCACGGGUAAUUGAGUAACGGAUAUAAAUUUGUGGCGCUCCAGUCAUGCUGAUGCACUGGCUUACGAUUGGGCAGUUAGGCCGGCCUGUGCUCAAGAACUCCAUCGGGUGGUCCUGCAGCCUGCCGGGCGCCGUGCAGACUGACGAUUGAUCGGCCAUUUCUUUUUUCUCUUUCAGAAGGAAGGACACGCACCGGAUACUGGAAUUGCAUUUGCAGUUAGAGAGAGCUCAGCAGUGCCUUUCGCGACGGCGUGAUACAUUUUUUUUUUGAGGACAUCGACGGCGUGAUACAUGUACUUGUAGUGUACGAGACGCGAAGACGCGUGCCGCGUGGGCCGUGGUGUCGGACGAUGGUGUCGUGGGCCGAGGCCGGGGCCCGGUCCGGGAGUAGCACACCGUUCGCGUGCGCGGUCGCCGAUACGCGCCGCUCACCUUUGCACACACGCGCCGCGGCAUGAAUUACGCGGCUCCGCUUUCUCGUUCCCGUUCCUCCUGCCGGCUGCAGCAUGCCAGCAUCCCGUCACAACAGCUUGC